UUAGGGAAUCUUCCACAAUGGACGAAAGUCUGAUGGAGCAACGCCGCGUGAGUGAAGAAGGGUUUCGGCUCGUAAAACUCUGUUGUUAAAGAAGAACAUAUCUGAGAGUAACUGUUCAGGUAUUGACGGUAUUUAACCAGAAAGCCACGGCUAACUACGUGCCAG
rnacentral:rRNA from 1 species